rnacentral:tRNA from 1 species
GUCUCUGUGUGUGCAAAUGGUUAACAUGCUUGGCUGCUAACCAAAAUGUUGGCAGUUCAAAUCUGUUCAGAGGCA